UAACAGCUCAAAUUUGAAAUCUGGCUCCUGCGGAGUCCGAGUUGUAAUUUGUAGAAGAUGCUUUGGGAGGUAGGCUCGGCCUAAGUUCCUUGGAACAGGACAUCAGAGAGGGUGAGAAUCCCGUAUGUGGCCGUGGCCUACGCCCGUGUAAAGCUCUUUCGACGAGUCGAGUUGUUUGGGAAUGCAGCUCAAAAUGGGUGGUAAAUUUCAUCUAAAGCUAAAUAUUGGCCAGAGACCGAUAGCGCACAAGUAGAGUGAUCGAAAGAUGAAAAGCACUUUGGAAAGAGAGUUAAACAGUACGUGAAAUUGUUGAAAGGGAAGCGCUUGCACCCAGACUUGGGCGUCGUCGAUCAUCCGAGGUUCUCCUCGGUGCACUCGGCGAGGCACAGGCCAGCAUCGGUUUGGAUGGUUGGAGAAAGGCUCUAGGAACGUAGCUCUCUUCGGGGAGUGUUAUAGCCUAGGGCGUAAUGCAGCCCAUCUGGACCGAGGACCGCGCCUUCGGGCUAGGAUGCUGGCGUAAUGGUUGCAAGCGACCCG
rnacentral:rRNA from 2 species